GUGUGAUUUUUGUUCUUUAGUAGAAGGAUAACAUGACAUAGCAGGAAUAAUACUGCCUUUUCUUUCUGGCAUGGAUCAAGAGAAAAGAAAAUACAAGAAAACAGACAGAAGCAAGGCAAGGUACUUCUAUGGAAGGGUGAGCCCUCACAGAUGGAGCAAUGGGGCGCGCACACCUGAACAAGGGAGGGGAAGGAGUUCUUAUCCCUGAUGCAUGUGACCCCUGCUGCUGUGUCCUUCCCCUAUUGGCUAAGGCUUCUGACAGCUUUGGAGAUUGUGACAUUGGAAUAAAGGAAAAACGUACAGGACUCAUGAAGCGCUGAAAUGUUCACAAAUAUCAAGCAAAAGUCAAUGAAAUUUAUUUUGAGCUAUUUACAUCAUUUAAUAAUUGAGCAAGGUAUACUCCUAUGAACAAAAUUUGGAGCAUGUUUGUCUCUCUCUGCCUGGCGUCUUCAGAAUUUGGAAACUAGUUAGUCAUGGAAAUUUAUUUUGAGCUAUUUACAGCAUUUAAUAAUUGAGCAAGGUAUACUCCUAUGAACAAAAUUUGGAGCAUGUUUGUCUCUCUCUGUCUGCCUGGCAUCUACAGAAUUUGGAAACUAGUUGUGCUGUACUGCAUGAGAAUGCCUGCAUUUAGUAUGCGAACUGGAAUUGGCAAAGGACGAUGGCUGCUCUCCCGCUAACUUUAAAUAAGUCAUGUCACAAAUUGCAUUCGUUCCCAGAUUUCCUAAACUUUCCAGAGAAAAUGGUCUUCUCCCUGGCUCAGCAAGAAGAUGAACUUUAAACACUGAGAAACUGGUCAUCUCCCUGGCUCAACCAGAAGAUGAACUUUAAACACUACUCUCAAUGACUUGAUGUUCCCAUCACUACUCCUGUCAUAAAGGGAGGGGACUCAGAUAUUGAGAAUUUUAUGAUAGUGUGAACUGUCUGGUAUGUCAUUUAAGUAAGCCCGUUGCUGAAAUAUUUUCCAUGUUAUUAGAAAGAGCUGAAGAGAGGGAUUGAGAUGGCUUCUUUAUUUUUUGUCUUUUGGGAAUUAAAGGAACCUGGUUCAACAAGGGCCUACACCUAAGUCUCUUGUUGUACCAGAGUACAAUUUAGGACUGCUCCUGAGGAAGGAAUUAGCUAGAAAUCUAGAGAGUAAGGGUAACAGAUUUACAUAGAAUAACAGCCUCAGUAUUUUUGGUUCCUCUCCAGUAAAGAUCACAAAGAAUAUUGCUAAAUCGCUAAAACACCUUUGCAAUAACGUAAGGGCUUACAACUAUAUACCAAUGUAGCUCAGUUACUAAACUGGAGUAAACUAAUUUCUCUUGUGUAGAAAAAUUGGUUGGCUGUGGUUUUAUAGCAGAUCUGCAAUUAUUAAUAGUUAUGCCAAUAAUCGUUUAACAGUGCAUAUGUUAAUAUAUAUGGAAAGACAAUGUGUAUAGACAGAUGUGUAAAAUUGAAAAAUAAACAUAUAACAAGAGAGAAACAUCUAUCGAACAGACAAUAUACAUACACAUCAAACACAACAGCAGUUUUAGUGACCAUAAUAUUUAUUUCUCAUUUUUACAUUGCUUACUUUAGUGACAACUGAAAAUGACAGUUGGCAAUGCAGCUAACAGUUUCAAUAAAAGUAUAAAACAAAAGACUGUGUACAAAGCACCUGUCUUUCCGCUUUUGUAAUCUUCCGUUGGAAAAAAUUUACACACCUAAGUAACCAUCUGUUUUCUUCAAGAAAAAAUCAUUCUUAUUUCUCUCUCUCAUCUUGAAAACAGCUGUCAGCCAGGAGGGCAGAGCUGAAAUUUAUUGCCACAUCACAUGAAGCAUAGAACAGACUCCACUACUCCUUGAGAUUCAAAACUUUGCCUCUCACAAAGUUACCUUUUAUUUUCCUCUUGUUUGUCACUCAUCUCCCCUAGUGUGCUCUUUUUAUUUCUUUUACUAUUAAUAAUAAAAUCUGUGGAUGACUGUAUUAU
rnacentral:lncRNA from 1 species